GGGCGGUUAGCUCAGCUGGUUAGAGCGCCUGCCUUACAAGCAGGAGGCCGAAGGUUCGAGUCCUUCACUGCCCACCA
rnacentral:tRNA from 1 species